UGUGCGUAUAUCCAUGAAAACUUACUAAAUUUGAGCUAAUACAUAAUGCAAACAGAAAAUGUUUUUUGAGUAGAAUUUGCAUACAGAAAGACAAUCAAGAAUCGGACUAAAACAUUUGAAAAGUUUGUCAAUAUUUAGUAGUAUAUACAAUAGCACAAGUAUUAUUGUGUCACUAGUAUCUCAUCUUAUACAUCAUGAAUGUUACUAAUGAAAUGUUGCAGAUUUAUCUAUAAGUAUAAAUCUUAAGAUGCUGUUAAGAGCUAAUACAUAAUGCAAACAGAAAAUGUUUUUUGAGUAGAAUUUGCAUACAGAAAGACAAUCAAGAAUCGGACUAAAACAUUUGAAAAGUUUGUCAAUAUUUAGUAGCAUAUACAAUAGCACAAGUAUUAUUGUGUCAUUAGUAUCUCAUCUUAUACAUCAUGAAUGUUACUAAUGAAAUGUUGCAGAUUUAUCUAUAAGUAUAAAUCUUAAGAUGCUGUUAAUUUGCC
rnacentral:lncRNA from 1 species